AGAGCGAACGCUGGCGGCGUGCCUAACACAUGCAAGUCGAACGUGAAAUGGAGCAAUCCAGAGUAAAGUGGCGUACGGGUGAGUAACACGUAGGUAAUCUACCCCAGAGUCUGGAAUAACCGGCCGAAAGGCUGGCUAAUACUGGAUAGAGCGACGGAAUCCGUAAUUGGGUUUUUCGGGAAAGGGAGGACGUAAGUCCCCUCGCUUUGGGAUGAGCCUGCGUCUCAUUAGGUAGUUGGUGAGGUAACGGCUCACCAAGCCUUUGAUGGGUAGCUGGUCUGAGAGGAUGAUCAGCCACACUGGAACUGAAACACGGUCCAGACUCCUACGGGAGCAGCAGUGGGAAUCUUGCGCAAUGGAACGAAGUCUGACGCAGCCACGCCGCGUGAGUGAAGAAGGCCUU
rnacentral:rRNA from 1 species